rnacentral:rRNA from 2 species
AACGGAGGCGCUCAAAGGUUCCCUCAGAAUGGUUGGAAAUCAUUCAUAGAGUGUAAAGGCAUAAGGGAGCUUGACUGCGAGACCUACAAGUCGAGCAGGGUCGAAAGACGGACUUAGUGAUCCGGUGGUUCCGCAUGGAAGGGCCAUCGCUCAACGGAUAAAAGCUACCCCGGGGAUAACAGGCUUAUCUCCCCCAAGAGUUCACAUCGACGGGGAGGUUUGGCACCUCGAUGUCGGCUCAUCGCAUCCUGGGGCUGUAGUCGGUCCCAAGGGUUGGGCUGUUCGCCCAUUAAAGCGGUACGCGAGCUGGGUUCAGAACGUCGUGAGACAGUUCGGUCCCUAUCCGUCGUGGGCGUAGGAAAUUUGAGAGGAGCUGUCCUUAGUACGAGAGGACCGGGAUGGACAUACCUCUGGUGUACCAGUUGUCGUGCCAACGGCAUAGCUGGGUAGCUAUGUAUGGACGGGAUAAGUGCUGAAAGCAUCUAAGCAUGAAGCCCCCCUCAAGAUGAGAUUUCCCAACUUCGGUUAUAAGAUCCCUCGAAGAUGACGAGGUUAAUAGGUUCGAGGUGGAAGCGUGGUGACACGUGGAGCUGACGAAUACUAAUCGAUCGAAGACUUAAUCAAUUUUUAAA